GACGAACGCUGGCGGCGUGCUUAACACAUGCAAGUCGAACGGAAAGGCCCUGCGUUUUUGGGGUUCCCGAGUGGCGAACGGGGGAGGAACACGUGAGUAACCUGCCCUUGAUUUUGGGAUAGCUUAAGGUAACUGGGGCUAAGAUCGGAUAGGAGCUCCUGUACCAGGGUGGGGGUUGGAAAGUUUCGGCGGUUGGGGUUGGAUUCGCGGCUUAUCAGCUUGUUGGUGGGGUAGGUGCUUACCAAGGCUUUGACGGGUAGCCGGCCUGAGAGGGUGACCGGCCACAAUGGGACUGAGAUACGGCCCAGAGUCCUACGGGAGGCAGCAGUGGGGAAUAUUGCACAAUGGGCGGAAGCCUGAUGCAGCAACGCCGCGUGCGGGAUGACGGCCUUCGGGUUGUAAACCGCAUUCGCCUGUGACGACGCGUGAGUGACGGUAAUGGAUAAAGAAGCACCGGCUAACUACGUG
rnacentral:rRNA from 1 species